UUAGUAGCGAAGUAGCUGAUUUCACACUGUCAAGAAAAGUCUCUAUCGAGGUUAAAGGUACCCGUACCGCAAACCGACACAGGUGGGUGAGGAGAGUAUCCUAAGGCCAGCGAGAGAACUGUUGUUAAGGAACUCGGCAAAAUGACCCCGUAACUUAGGGAUAAGGGGUGCCACCAUCAGGUGGCCGCAGAGAAUAGGCCCAAGCGACUGUUUACCAAAAACAUAGGUUUCUGCUAAGUCGCAAGACGAUGUAUAGGAGCUGACGCCUGCCCGGUGCUGGAAGGUUAAGGGGAUCUGUUAGAGCAAUCGAAGCAGUGAACUUAAGCCCCAGUAAACGGCGGCCGUAACUAUAACGGUCCUAAGGUAGCGAAAUUCCUUGUCGGGUAAGUUCCGACCCGCACGAAAGGCGUAACGAUUUGGGCACUGUCUCAACAACAGACUCGGUGAAAUUGUAAUUCCGGUGAAGAUGCCGGAUACCUGCGACAGGACGGAAAGACCCCAUGGAGCUUUACUGUAGCUUGACAUUGGGUCUUGGUACUACAUGUACAGGAUAGGUGGGAGGCUUUGAAACCAGGACGCCAGUUUUGGCGGAGCCAUCCUUGGGAUACCACCCUUGUAGUACUGGGACUCUAACCAUAGGCCAUGAAUCUGGUCUUGGGACACUGUCAGGUGGGCAGUUUGACUGGGGCGGUCGCCUCCCAAAAGGUAACGGAGGCGCUCAAAGGUUCUCUCAGUACGGUCGGAAAUCGUACGUAGAGUGUAAAGGCAAAAGAGAGCUUGAUUGCAAGACAUACAGGUCGAGCAAGGAUGAAAAUCGGACUUAGUGAUCCGGUGGUUCUGCGUGGAAGGGCCAUCGCUCAACGGAUAAAAGCUACCCUGGGGAUAACAGGCUUAUCUCCCCCAAGAGUCCACAUCGACGGGGAGGUUUGGCACCUCGAUGUCGGCUCAUCACAUCCUGGGGCUGUAGUAGGUCCCAAGGGUUGGGCUGUUCGCCCAUUAAAGUGGUACGCGAGCUGGGUUCAGAACGUCGUGAGACAGUUCGGUCCCUAUCCGUCGCAGGCGUAGGAAAUUUGAGAAGACCUGUCCUUAGUACGAGAGGACCGGGAUGGACG
rnacentral:rRNA from 1 species